rnacentral:rRNA from 1 species
CGACCGGCGCACGGGUGAGUAACACGUAUCCAACCUGCCGUCUACUCUUGGACAGCCUUCUGAAAGGAAGAUUAAUACAAGAUGGCAUCAUGAGUCCGCAUGUUCACAUGAUUAAAGGUAUUCCGGUAGACGAUGGGGAUGCGUUCCAUUAGUUAGUUGGCGGGGUAACGGCCCACCAAGACAACGAUGGAUAGGGGUUCUGAGAGGAAGGUCCCCCACAUUGGAACUGAGACACGGUCCAAACUCCUACGGAAGGCAGCAG